ACCAAUAGCCGUUUGAUGCUCCUUAAGGAUCUGCACAAGCUUUUCUUCUUGCGGUGCACUAAGUUUAUUGGAGAUGAUCACUGGUAAUGUUCCUCUGUCUCCAAGGAACACGUACUUGAGGUGACUGGGGAGAGGCUUCAAAUCUGGAAUAGGGGCCUGCAAAACAGAUGGUAAAGGCCUUUCGUUAGAAAUUGGUAAUGCAAUAUAAGAAACGUUAUCUGACUGCUGUAACUUUGGAAAAUUAUUCAAUGCUGCAACAAUUUCCUGCAAAUCAGUACUCAAGACUAACUCCUCAUUCUCUUUCUCAAGAUGCUUACUAAUGGCAACUUCCAAUCCAUCUUUU
rnacentral:lncRNA from 1 species